AUGUUCAUCAUGGAUAUUGGCCGGAAGUUUUCUUUUCUUGUUGGGUCUCUGCCGGGUUUUGGUAUCAGAAUGAUGUCUGAGUUCAAGCCCUGGAUAUCCUUGUUGAUUUUCUGUCUGGUUGAUCUGUCUAAUAUUGACAGUGGAGUGUUAAAGUCUCCCACUAUUGUUGUGUGGGAGUCUAAGUCUCUUUGUAAGUCAUUAAGAACUUGCCUUAUUUAUCUGGGUGCUCCGGUAUUGGGUCCAUAUAUAUUUAGGAUCCUUAGCUCUUCUUGUUGUAUCGAUCCUUUUACCAUUAUGUAAUGACCUUCUUUGUCUCUUUUGAUCUUUGUUGGUUUAAAGUCUAUUUUAUCCGAGAUGAGAAUUGCAACUCCUGCUUUUUUUGCUCUCCAUUUGCUUGCUAAAUCUCCUUCAUCCCUUUAUUUUGAGCCUUUGUGUAUCCUUGCAUGUGAGAUGGGUUUCCUGGAUACAGCACACUGAUGGGUUUUGGUUUUUCAUCCAAUUUGCCAGUCUGUGUCUUUUGAUUGGUGCAUUUAGUCCAUUUACAUUUAGGGUUCAUAUGGUUAUGUGUGAAUUUGAUGCUGCCAUUUUGAUGCUAGCUGAUUGUUUCACCCAUUAGCUGAUGUAGAUUCUUCAUUAUGUUGAUGCUCUUUAGUAUUUAGUGUGAUUUUGGAAUGGCUGUUACUGGUUGUUCCUUUCUACAUGUAGUGCCUCUUUCAGGAGCUCUUGUAAAGCAGGCCUGGUGGUGACAAAAUCUCUGAGUACUUGCUUGUUCGCAAAGGAUUUUAUUUUUCCUUCACUUAUGAAGCUCAGUUUGGCUGGAUAUGAAAUUCUGGGUUGAAAGUUCUUUUCUUUAAGGAUGUUGAAUAUUGGCCCCCACUCUCUUCUGGCUUUUAGAGUUUCUGCCGAGAGAUCUGCUGUGAGUCUGAUGGGCUUCCCUUUGUGGGUGACCCCACCUUUCUCUCUGGCUGCCCUUAGUAUUUUAUCCUUCAUUUCAACCCUGGUGAAUCUGACGAUUAUGUGCCUUGGGGCUGCUCUUGUUGCAGAAUAUCUUUGUGGUGUUCUCUGUAUUUCCUGCAUUUGAGUGUUGGCCUGCAUUGCUAGGUUGGGGAAAUUUUCCUGGAUAAUAUCCUGAAGAGUAUUUUCCAGCUUGGAUUCAUUCUCUUCGUCAGUUUCUGGUACGCCUAUGAAAUGGAGGUCAGUUCUCUUCACAUAGUCCCACAUUUCUUGGAGACUUUGUUCAUUCCUUUUUGUGCUUUUUUUCUCUAAUCUUGGUUUCUCAUUUUAUUUCAUUGAGUUGAUC
rnacentral:lncRNA from 13 species